CUUCCUUCCAGGGGAGUGACAAGGAGCUGAAUGCAGGGAGGCAAUUGGCAGCAGGCUGCCUGGAGCUGGAGCCCUUCUUCCUGCCAGCAAUGGUCACCCAUGAGGCCACCACAGCCCCACGAGGCCACACCCAUCCACAGUAUCACUAGACUGGGCAGUCUGGUCCUGACCCAGGACUUUCCUGUUGCAAGGCACCUCUGGGACUCCCGGUCAGCCAGCCAAGGAGCAGCCCAGAGGGAUCCAAGCAUGGGCAGUAACGAACCAGGAUGUUGGGAGGAGCAGGUUCAGAACCUCAGAACCACCUAGCUUUUGCCUUUUCCUGAAUCCUCCUCUAUUCCCACCUCUCCCCACUCAUUCCUACCUCCACCCUCACACUCAAAGCCACACAUAUCCAGAGGAUCUUUUGCUUGGUCUGUACCACCCUAAUUUCAAGGCAAUAAGGAAUGCCAUGUAGCCAUUUGAGUUGCUAUUUUCCACUAUGGUUUUCUAUUUUGCCUUCAUGGGGGACCCUGGGGAAACCCUCAUCCCCCACAUCCCCAUCUUGUAGUUAUGGUCUCAAUAGGAACAAAAGUUCUGCAUUCCUAUUAUUCCUCUUUCCUUCCAUGCUUUGUUAAAUCUUUUAUUAGCCCCUCAAAGAGAGCUCCUUGAAGGCCAGUAGCACAGCCAAGUCCUGGGACCUUUGUGUGAGCACCAUCUGUGAUUAAAGAGAAAUCAUAACACAGUAAGGGCCAUAUGAUAAACACUAAAGAAAUGACUGUUAAAUAAACUGACUCAAUAAUUCAUGAUCAAACAAAUAUGGAUUAUGGAAGCUGCCUUCAUCUUUAUUGACCCUCAGUUUGGAAUGACCACUGCCUCUGGAUCAUAUCCUGGGGCAGAGCAAGAAGAAACCAUUCACUCCUUAAGGAUACAGAAAAAAAAGGAAGAGAAUUGCCUGAAAAGUCCUGCAGGUGUUCAAGUCCUGCUGUUCAGAGAAACCCUGCUCAUAUAUGCACCUUGGUGGCCGAUGGAAUCUCCUCUUCAGAUGACAAAUCGCUAAUUCGGGUCCCAGCCUUAGAACUGCACUGCUUAUAGGUGCAUUUUAUAGCAAUGCAUUGUGUAUACUCAUUAGAUUGAAUUUACCGAUUUCACAAGCAUGUGCUGGGGAACCAGGGACAUAAAUGCACAGUGACAAUAUCUAAGGUUCCAUAGAGGGAGAAAUGCACCUACAACAGUAACUUGAAGUGAAGGAACCAAGUGGAAGCUGCCAUUAGAGGCUCCCAGACAAAGAGCCAGGGCUCGACUGCCUCUUCAGAGGCCUGGGAUCAUCACACCAAUCAGCAGGCACUCUGGGGUGUGAUACAGCUUGCUGCAAAGGAUCCUCUAGGCUAACCGUGACUCAUUGGCCUUAGGCUCCCACUGCCUGUUCCCAUGAGGUUGGAGAAAGAACAUGGGCUUUGAGCAAACAGAGCUGGAAUCCUGGUUCUGUUCUGGACUGGUGUGAGAUUUCCAACAUUUCCAACUUGACCUCUCUCAGCUUUUGCUUGUCUGGAAUAUGGUGCUAAUGCCCCCUGCCCCCUAGGAUGGCAGGAAGUAUUCCAUUAGAUAUUGUACAGAAAGAUCUCACAAAGCAUAUAGGAGGUGUAAUGCCUUUCCCUCCCCCUGCCUACCUCCAAAGAAUGAGAGGCCCUGCCAAAGCACACCCACAGGGCAACACAGUACAUCACUGCCAGGCAGCAGAGCAAGCACAUCUUAAUAGGGCCAGACCUGGGAAGGUCUGGAGUGUGGAACACUGCGAGGGUUUUUGCUGCAGGUUGGAGAUAACCAGUGGGUGGCCCCAGGGUGAUGGUUGUACUUAUGGGGCUCACUAGGACAGAGGACAGAGGUAAAAAGUGGAGGGAGGAAAUCAAAAUAAACCUGGUCUCACAUCACACUGGACCUACAGCUAGUCCUACACACACAGUCUAACAUUUGCUCCUGAUGCUAGAGCCCAGGCGAUGCCCUUGUUUAUAACACAGAGCUCUUGUCUGCCCCCUCCUUAGUCCUGCACCAGCCAGACACAGGGCUUUGACUUCUCCCCUUGCUCGUCUUUUAGAUCAUUAGCCCUGAAAUGCUCCUGGCUGGUUGUCCCAGGGGUUCACCGAGAGCAAAUUUGUGGCAGGCAGAAAGAAGGGACUGGAACAACACAUGAAUGGCAGUCUGUCGAGAUGGUCAUUCAUCAGGUCUCGGAAUCGAAUCUGAAAAACCAUCUGCCUUUGUCUUCCAUGAGGAUUCUGCAUUGGAGAGGGGAAUGGCCCUCCUCGGUGCCUCCUCCACGGUGGCUGAGAGAAGCCAGCCAUCUGGUGACAUGGUGGGAGGCAGUGGGGGAAGGGGGGUCUACUCGGACACCUAGGCGAGGGGAUGGCUUUGUGUUCAUAAUCACUACAGCCCCACUCUGCUCAUGGGGCCUCAUUUCUCAAUGCUAGGCCAAGCAAACAUUCUCACUGUGCUCUUGCUCAUUCUUUGCUUUGUGCUUUUGGCUGCUUAACUUUUGAAUGCCAGGCCAAACUUUUAAAUGCAUGUAUAUUUCUGGCAACACUCCAUGGGAGCAUUUAUUGCACUGAAUGCAAAAUAGGAGACUCUACUUCGUGCUGGGACUCAGAAAACCCCCAAGGAAGGAGGCGACACUAUCAUCUCAAUCAAGGACCCCUGGAAGGCAUGAUGUCACUUCGACUUAUCCCAAACUCAAGAUUUAAUCAUGAUAAGCCAAAUAAAUAUGAUUGAUAGUCUCUCUAUGUAAUUCAAUCACAAAAUCAAGGACCCCUGGAAGGCAUGAUGUCACUUCGACUUAUCCCAAACUCAAGAUUUAAUCAUGAUAAGCCAAAUAAAUAUGAUUGAUAGUCUCUCUAUGUAAUUCAAUCACACAUGUCCCAGUAGCAGGGAAGCAUUUGGACCACGUUGCCAGUUUUUUCUUAUUUAACCAUCCUGAUGGCUCAGGGGUAGUACCAAUAAGAUAUUAGUUUCCCUGGAGAAAUUUUCUUCUAAUCAUGCAUAUUGAGCUUGAAGCCUUUAGGCACAGGCAGAUUCUGAUAAUUUAUUUUUUUCACCUGAAGCUAUUUUUUGUUUUUGUUUUACUCACAGGUUCGUAGUGUUUAUUACAUUCGCUAGAGAAAAUUCUCUCCACUUUCCACACUUCAUGUCCUCAGUCAUUUUGGCAUAAGACAGGAUGUGGCUUUCCAGCUGCCUCCAGCCACGCCUUUGGAAGUGAGAGAUGGCAGCUCCCAGCCUCCCCGUGCCUGCAGUCCAGAUGUGAGAGCGUGAGAAGCUGUCUUCCUGAGCUAGAAUGAAAUUUGGGUGAUUCAGUCUCAUUUAGCAUUGCCUACAGAAAGGUUUUUCUUUUCAGGGGCAUUUUUAAAAGAUAGGAACUAUUAUUCUCCAGGUAAAUCGCAGUCAGGAGCUAAUUUCAUAACAUCUACCAUCAUUGACCAUUUUUGGCUUGGGUUAAAAAAAGAAGUAAAUUAAAUUAAAUAAACAUCCACCAUCAUCUCCAAGGCCUACUUAUGUUAGAGAACGUGUAGCUAGUUAGAGAGACAAGAGUCAGAUGGAGAGCGUCUUCAUUCCACACAUCGAGAGUAAAUCAGUGAAGUGCCUCUGAAAUAUUCAAAAAAAGUAAGAAAUCUGGAUAUAAAAGUAGACUAGGUCAACAUGAGCCUCCAGGGUCCUGUAGCUAUUGGGCUAGCACAGAGCCUAGGAUUAAUGUGAAUCUAUCUCACUUGGACUGCCAUGGGAAUUUUCCUGCGUAUUUGUCACACAAUUUGAUUCGGGUUGUCCCACUGCCCGAGGAAGCUGGGCUGCGUGUGAGAUUUGUUUGGAAGCAGUAACGAAUCCAAUUGGAGAUGAAGGUCUAGGUUUGAGGAGCAAGCACUUCUAGCCACAAAAAAUAUCCAAAUAAGGAUGGAGGGGCGAGAACAGUCAAAUGUAGCUUACUCAUGGUUUUCAAUAGGUAUGCUUUCAGUUUUCUUCUUCAUCAUCAAGGUGCUAGCAGUAUUGCAUCAGCAUCCAUAUAAAGAAAGGGAGAUGCAACAGGGAGCCGCAGGGAAAGCUCUGACUGAGGAGUUGGGAGUGUGAGGGAUCUGCUAUCCUGAGCUGGGCGGCCACAGAGAAGUCUUGGACGCCUCUGGCUGCACUGCAAAAGUCUGUUGGUUUAUGUUUCUAAGUGAUCAUCAUGUCUUUAGAAAUUAGCUAUGCAGAUGAGCUCUCUCCAGAUGUUUGUUGGAAGAUUUUAGUAAGUACAGAUGCUCCUUGACUUACAAUGGGGUCACAUCCUAAUAAACCCAUCAUAAAUUGAAAAUAUUAUAAGUCGAAAAUUCAUUUAAUAUACCUAACCUACCAAACAUCACAGCUGAACAUAGCCUUCCUUAAACGUGCUCAGAACACUUGCAUUAGCCUACAAUUGGGCAAAAUUAUCUAACACAAAUCCUGUUUUAUAAUAAAGUGUUAGAUCUCUCAUAUAAUCUAUUGAAUACUGUACUAAAAGUGAAAAACAAUGGUUGUAUGGGUACUAGAAAUACAGUUUCCACUGAAUGCAUGUCACUUUCACUUCAUCAUAAACUUGAAAAAUCAUUCAUCAAGGAAUGUCUGUAGUUGUUUUGGGUUGAAUUGUGUCCCCCAGAAAGAUACGUUCAUGUAUCUUUCUAACCCUGUAAAUGUGACCUUAUGUUGAAACAGAAUCUGUGCAGAUGUCAUCAAGUUAAGAUGAGGUUAUACUGGAUUAGUGUGGACUCUAAUCCAGUGACUGGUGUCCUUAUAAAGAGGGGAGUUUGGACACAGACGUAGAAAGAAUGCUAUGUGACAAGGGAGGUAGAGAAGGUAGGGACUGGAGUUGUGUGCCUACAAGCCAAGGAACACCAAGGAUUGCCAGGCAAAUACCAGAAUCUAAGAGAGAGACUUGGAAUGGACUCUCCCUCAACCCCCAGAAAGAACCAACCCUGCCAUCCUGUUGAAGGGAACACUACGGUCCCAGAAGUGACCACACCUUGAUCCUGAACUUCUGGCCUCCAGAACUGUAAAAGAAUAAAUUUCUGUUGUUUUAAGCCACCCAGUUUGUGGUACAUUGUCAUGACAGCCCUAGGAAUCUAACACAGCAGUCGUCUCACACACAGGCCAAUAUAACUAGUUUAGAACAAGAUUCAUUACAUCUGUUAGAUGUCAAGGGAAUAUUUUUUGGUCUCGAUGAUGGCAAAUGUAUUUUGAUAAUACUACUGACCUUGCAAUUUUUACUGGGAGUUUUUGGAAUGUAUAUUCAUUUCGUGCUCCUAAAAAGAUUAAGCAUGCAUGAGUGCAUGGACACAUCUAUCAAUCCACUACGUGGCAUUUCAUUAAAAAAAUAAAUAAAUAAAAUCAGGCUGGGCAUGGUGGUUCACACCUGUAACCCCAGCACUAUGGGAGGCUGAGGCGGGUGGAUCACCUGAGGUCAGGAGUUCGAGACCAGCCUGACCAACAUGGUGAAAUCCCAUUUCUACUUAAAAUACAAAAAUUAGCCAGGUGUGGUGGUGGGCACCUGUAAUCUUAGCUACUCGGGAGGCUGAGGCAGGAGAAUUGCUUGGACCCAGGCGGUGGAGGUUGCAGUGAGCUAAGAUUGUGCCAUUGCACUCCAGCCUGGGCAACAAGAGUGAAAUUCCGUCUCAAAAAAAAAAAAAAAAAAAAAAAAAAGAAAUCCUGUUUUUUAGUAUCAGGAAAUGAAUUAAAUACUUCAUCUAUUUUCUACAAAAAGGUGACCUAUGUUUACAUUUUCAACCUCAUAUUUAACAGUGAUUGUGCAAUGUUAUUGCAUUCUCUCGUUAGCCACUCCCAGGCAGUGGAAAUGUUGGCUUGCCAGCUCUCAGUGGAGAAGUAAAUUGCCCUCUGACAGUGCUGGUGAGGCGCCACUCUAUUUAAAGGCAAUUUGAGGAAGAGUGAUCAUCUCCUGUGUGGGGAAGGCCAAGUUAAGACUUCUGUUCAGAUCCACUGGAAUUUACAUAGCUACACCAACUAGAGGACACUUCCACC
rnacentral:lncRNA from 1 species